UGUACUGCCUCAAAUGUCCUUCUACGCGUGGCGGGCCGUCUUUUACGGCUCCGUCUGGACGGCGGGGGAUUUCUGUGCGCAGCUCUACGCCGCCCACAAGGAGGCGGCGGCGCGGCGCGCCUCCCGUGAGAAGCGGAAAAGCCCGCGCCCGAGUGGAGCGCAGAUGUUUGCGAUGCUCGACAAGGAGCGUCUUGGGCAGAAUACGCUCUUCGGACUUUCGAUUGGCGGCUUUAUUGGUCAGUAUGAGCGCUUCCUCCCCCGCAUCUUCGGCACAUUAACACGUAAUCCCACACCGUGCCUAUGCGCUCUCGGGCUACAGCAGCUGGCAGUGACACCUCUCAUCCUCUGGUCCUACUUCAACGCCAUGACCGCAGCGCGUGGAGGGCUGAGCGACCCGAGUUUCAUGAAUGAGCACAGCUUCGGGGCACGUCAGCGACACGACAUCGCCAGCGUGGAGCGCCACAUCCUUCAUGAUGUGAUGCCGUAUCCGCUUCUCGUCUCAUGGGGCGUGUAUACGCCGCUCUUCACUCUGGCGUACAUUGGCCCACCCCGCGCUUCCACGUUCUUCUCCAGCUGCCUCUUUGUGCCGUGGUGCGGCCUCGUCUCCCACACGCAGGGGAAUGACCUCCUCUAGGCUCCAGCACUGUGGGCAUUGCGCCACGUGCUCCGAAAGAAGAGCUGUCGUUGCGCCCAGAUGUAUGCGUGCGUCUUUCUAUGCUGCGGUUAUGGCAGUUGGCGAGGACGCACCUCACUCGCAGCCGCCGAAUGGCGGAAGAGAAAGCCUCUCUCUGACGCCCACCCUGGCGUCGCCUGUCGUUUCUUCGUUGUUGCUUGAGUCAUUUUGCUUCUCUCUUCGUGUGUGCGUGAUUCUUUGUUUCGAUUCCGUCCCUUGCCUCGGCGCGGAGUGUGCAUGCAUUUGUCUGUGCGUCCUUGUGUGCCGGUGUGGCUCAACUAGUCGUAACAGCUAUGCUGAGCCCAUAGAAAGACAGAGGGUGGCUCUCUCUUCAUAUCUGUGCCGCAAAGAGUGUCUGCGCAUGAUGCGACUGCAUCGUACCCGCUCCAC
rnacentral:misc_RNA from 1 species